rnacentral:pre_miRNA from 1 species
AUAAUAUUCCUCCGUCCAAUAAAAAAUGUCUCAAGUUUGUUAAAAUUUGAAUGUAUCUAGACAUGACUUAGUGUAUAGAUGCAUUCAAAUUUAGUCAAAGUUGAGACAUCCUUUGUUGAAAGAGUAGUACGCC